UAUCAAUUUAAGAUGUAGAUUCAAAUAUUGUUCACUUCAAACGAUAACGUUGGACAGUUGGGCUAUCAAGGAUAAUAUCUAGUUCAGAUCUAAGAAAAAAAGCAACUCUGUUACACUAAAACAAUUGACUAAUUAAAAUUGUCACAUGGUGUCUUCUUAUGUCGUCUGAA